CCUGUCUUAUUUUCUGUCCCUAAACACUACAGCAGCUUGGUGUCGAAUCAAGAGUGGUGCUUGACUGCAACGUUGCCAGUACAUGGAGAUCAAGUUUGCUCAUGUUUGGCCUGAUGUGUGGAGCGAGUUCUGCUGCUUGCUGGGGUUCGGGGAGUUCCAACUGCAGGCCAUGGCGUCGCAUCCUGUACUACUAUUAGCAACAUAAGAGCAAAUUAUCUAUUGUCGUGCAACACUACUCGCCAGAAUGAGAGCGAAUGGAGAUUGAUAUGGAUUUUGGUAGUACUGUAAUCUUCUAGCACCACCGACUUGUGAACGCCCUGAUCAGUUGUGCUGUUUCUUGGAGAGGAAUAUUAUGGAGUACGUACGCAUGUUCUUCAUUUCAUAUAGGCAUCUGUUGAUGUUUUGUAGUAGAAGGCAGAAAAAUCACUAAAUACUGACCAGAGAUAUCCUACUGCCAUCUUACUGUUAAACAUCUGGAACAUCAAUUUUCUGCUGUUGUUUGGUACUCCUCCGUUCCAAAAUAGAUGACCCAACUUUGUGCUAACUUUAGGGAGUAAAAGAUAAGAACACUCUUCCUCCUUGAAAAAGGAAACAUAAAAAGAUUAAAUUUGUUACUGAGGUUCAGGACAAAUCUACAUCAUAACACUAGGCAUGACUAAGGGCACUGAAGUUAAUCAAACAACCUCUUGAUCACAUUGCUAUGAAUGCAUGGACUGCCUCUCUCGUGAUCUAGACGUUGUAACUUUGUUAAGCUCGGAUUACAUAUGUUCAACUCAAACAUCACGUGAUUUUACACAACAAACGUACGGCAUCACUCAAGCAAAACAAGAUCGAAAAGCUCGCUACGAAUCAGCAGGGUACUUGUUCCUCCGGCACGUCAGCGCUCGCGCCUGAGCCGCUCCUGCACCCUCGAUAUGUACAAGGAGGCACGGCGGUCAACGUCAGCGUCGCCUCCUGGUCCGUCGCAGUGCUUGCUGUUGCCAGGAGCCAUCACCUGCACAGUGAUCGCCUUGUUGCCUGCCUGGACCGGUGCGGCAGGGGCUGCCGCCGCUGGCGACCAGGGGUAGAAGGGCAUCGCCGUCUUGUGCCUCGUCGCUGUGGCAUGCUUGUACAAACCGAUGUCCAUUGCACAGGUGAGGUGUCGUUGUAUGUUUCUUUUGUAGUCUGUACCUGUGCGGUGUGUAGGCUCGAGGCAUUCCGUUCAUGGCAAUUUAUAGCAGUUUCUGAAGCCUUCUUUCUAAAUGUUAAAUAAAUAAGUGCACUUCAUGACGAAUCUAAUGAUCCUAAUUUUAUAUUGUGCAUACUGAUAUAUUUUUCUUAAAACUUGAUAAAAUACAGACACAUUUGAUUUGCAGUACAUUUUUUGAAACUAAGAGGGCAUUACCUGGAAAAAAGAAAGAAAGAGGGAGUAUCGUGUCCUCUGAUGGAAUAUCCACAUCAUUCUUUUCUGAGAUAUGCACUUACUGUUGGACAUGAUGCACAUGCGUGUGCAUUGCUCAGUUCACAGCAAUAAACAAUAACCGACAUAGCGAUAUGGAUUACUUUGCAUUCCAUCAGACUUCAACCAGCUCAAAUAUGAUAAGAUCUGAUUAACUAGAGAGAAUAUGAUCUGUUUUGUCAAAAAUACAUGGUGAACAUUGUUCCACACGCAUCCACAUGAAUAGUAAAAUCAUAAAAAUACUAGAUUUUUAAAAUAAAAAAUUAGGUAUCAAACUUGAUCGACCAUUCUAUUCACGUGUCAAGUUUCGUGAAGCAGUGGCACCCGUGAUAUCUUUAAUGGAGGAAAUACAACUAAGACCUUACUGUUCAUGAAACAAUGUUUUUUAGCUUAACUUUGAUUUUUCUUUUUUUUGUCCAGAAUACCACAAAUGUCAUUUCUUUGUAAAACUUCAUACAUGAGUAUAUUAGUAAACUAUGUAGGUUAUUUUUUUCCUUCAAAUUUACUAUUCUAACAGGUGCGCAUAACCAUGUUCCAAAAAAUCCUAUCCAGAUCGUUCCCUUUGAUGUAUGGCAAUGCAUCAUUGUGUUGUUCCCCGGAUUCACGCGCGGAAUCAGACGCACCAGAGAGCUAAGAAAAACGCUCUUAAGAAACGUUAUACUUCUAUAACAUUUCCGAUUAGAUUAACUUUAAACCGGGGAGAGUAAAUUUGCUAUUAGUGGUGGAUUAAGAGGACUGGUGGACUUGGCAAAAAAAAAAAAAAAAGAGGACUGGUGGACAUAUACUAAGUUACUACGUCCUAUGCGCGAUCUUAUCACUACCAGCUAAAGUUCGGCUUAAUUAGGGAGUUUCUUUUUGCUGGAAAAUUAGGGAGUUAAUCCACUGGAACAUACGAGGAUAAAACGGUGUCUUUGCAAGGAAUAAAGGGAGGGAUUGCUCACCUGUAAAAAAAAAGAAAAAAAGAAAAAAAAGGAGGGAUUGGUAGGAACAACUCAUGCAAGUUGAUCAGAGAUGAUCUUUCUGUGUGAAGGAAUCAUCCCGAAACAAACUCGCGUAUAUCUGCCUAGUUUUCUUCUCUUGCAUUUCUACAUGUAACAAAGCAGAGAAUCUGGAAAAGCAAAGGGAAA
rnacentral:lncRNA from 1 species